AAGCAUUUUGAUAAACUUUUCUCCUGCUCUAAAGUUUGCCUUGGUCUUUUCUUCUACCUUAUGCCCCUCAGUUGAAUUCUUUCUUCUGAGGCGGCAGGAAUUGACUUUGCUGAUAUAUUUCGGUGCGCUGUGACUCGGAUAACUUUCACCGCUAACAUACAUUGGCACUGCUUGACUGGGAUCCAUGCCCUAAUGGUGAAGCCAGCUGGACUUCCUGGGUCGAGUGGGGACUUGGAGAACUUUUCUGUCUUACAAGAGGAUUGUAAAAUGCAACUAUCAGCACUCUGUCAAAAUGCACCAACCAGCACUCUGGAGCUAGCAAGAGGAUUGUAAAAUGCACCAAUCAGAGAAAAUUGAAACAGGUGUUGUGCUCUCAAACUAAGGAUAAUUUCCGACUUGUUACCUGGUUACCAACAAAGAAAAAAGAGAAGCAUCUUAACACCUGAUUAAUCACUCCAGACUCUGCCUGCUUGGGCUCUGUCACUCUUUAAAUGUGUUACUUUGGACGAGUUACUUAAAGAGUUGUCUGUAAAAUAGAGAAGAAAACAAGGCUUGAAAGAACCCCAGUGUGGGGGAAGUAGGAUGAAAGGGUGGUAUGAGACAAUAGUAGAUCACAGAAUGUUUUACCCUGAGGCCAGACUAUUAUGAGGAGGGUUUCCCUGUUGUCUCAGGCUGAGGAUAGACCAAUGUACAGGGGUCUGGAGGAAGGAAAGAAGCCUAAGUUGCGUUAACAGGGAUCACCAGAAUUCAUCAGGACAAGAUAUCCUCAGUAUAUAAAGACAUGAUUCAAUACAUUGAGAUACACGACACAAGGGACUUCACACAAAUUUCUGCAUUUCACAAGAUUUUUUCUUCUCUACUAUCCAUAUUCUUCCAGUGUUGUGGAACAUGUUCAUAUUACUAUAGAACAUCUUUCUCUGCUCCUUCUUGCCACCAUGCCAGGAACUCUGUCAUGAAGCAUGAAGCUAGAGGUUUUUCUUAAUGAAAAAAAAGUAAGAUUCAGAGAACUUCCAAUGUAUUUUCCAAGUCUAAGUCUAAUCUAACUCCAAAGCUUAUAAGCAGCUCCUAGAGGAUGUCUCUCCUAAUGUAAAGUUAAAAAUGACUGAUGGGGUAAAAUGUAUUCAUCUUCAGAAAAGGACUUUUAGCAAUAAAAAUAUGUAGCCUGAAGAUACAGAUCUUGAAUAAACGAGGAAAAAACUUUAAUACUGCCUAUUGUUAUUCUGCAUUUUAAUUAUAACAUUAUUUAGAUAUGUAAAUAUAACAGUAUUCUGU
rnacentral:lncRNA from 1 species